AGUGAACGCUGGCGGUAGGCCUAACACAUGCAAGUCGAACGGCAGCACAGUAAGAGCUUGCUCUUACGGGUGGCGAGUGGCGGACGGGUGAGGAAUACAUCGGAAUCUACUUUUUCGAGGGGGAUAACGUAGGGAAACUUACGCUAAUACCGCAUACGACCUACGGGUGAAAGCAUGGGAUCUUCGGACCUUGCGCGAUUGAAUGAGCCGAUGUCGGAUUGGCUCGUUGGGGGGGUAAAGGCCCAACAAGGCGACGAUCCGUAGCUGGUCUGAGAGGAUGAUCAGCCACACUGGAACUGAGACACGGUCCAGACUCCUACGGGAGGCAGCAGUGGGGAAUAUUGGACAAUGGGCGAAAGCCUGAUCCAGCCAUACCGCGUGGGUGAAGAAGGCCUUCGGGUUGUAAAGCCCUUUUGUUGGGAAAGAAAAGCAGCAGGUUAAUACCCCGCUGUUCUGACGGUACCCAAAGAAUAAGCACCGGCUAACUUCGUG
rnacentral:rRNA from 1 species